rnacentral:tRNA from 1 species
GUCAGGUUGGCCGAGUGGUCUAAGGCGCCAGACUUAAGCUCUGGUACUCGUAUGAGUGCGUGGGUUCGAACCCCACACCUGACA